UACAGAGGUCUCAAGCGUUGUUCGGAUUCAUUGGGCGUAAAGGGUGCGUAGGUGGCGCCAUAAGUCAGGUGUGAAAUCUCGGGGCUCAACCCCGAAACUGCACUUGAUACUGUGGUGCUCGAGUACUGGAGAGGAGAUUGGAAUUUACGGUGUAGCAGUGAAAUGCGUAGAUAUCGUAAGGAAGACCAGUGGCGAAGGCGAAUCUCUGGACAGUUACUGACACUGAGGCACGAAGGCCAGGGGAGCAAACGGGG
rnacentral:rRNA from 1 species